rnacentral:rRNA from 1 species
ACGGAGGGUGCAAGCGUUACCCGGAAUCACUGGGCGUAAAGGGCGUGUAGGCGGGAUGUUAAGUCUGGGUUUAAAGACAGAAGCUCAACUUCUGGAUUGGCUUGGAUACUGGCAUUCUAGACGACUGGAGGGGAGAGUGGAAUUCUCGGUGUAGCGGUGGAAUGCGUAGAUACCGAGAGGAACACCAGUGGCGAAGGCGGCUCUCUGGACAGUGCGUGACGCUGAGGCGCGAAAGUGUGGGGAGCGAACCGGAUUAGAUACCCGGGUAGUCCACACCCUAAACGAUGUGUGUUGGAUGAUCGCCCGCUGGGGUGAUUGUCGAAGCAAACGCGAUAAACACACCGCCUGGGAAGUACGGCCGCAAGGUUG